rnacentral:rRNA from 1 species
GACGAACGCUGGCGGCGUGCUUAACACAUGCAAGUCGAACGGAAAGGCCCUGCUUUUGUGGGGUGCUCGAGUGGCGAACGGGUGAGUAACACGUGAGUAACCUGCCCUUGACUUUGGGAUAACUUCAGGAAACUGGGGCUAAUACCGGAUAGGAGCUCCUGCUGCAUGGUGGGGGUUGGAAAGUUUCGGCGGUUGGGGAUGGACUCGCGGCUUAUCAGCUUGUUGGUGGGGUAGUGGCUUACCAAGGCUUUGACGGGUAGCCGGCCUGAGAGGGUGACCGGCAACAUGGGGACUGGGAACGGGCCCAGACUCCAACGGGAGGCAGAGGUGGGGAAUAUUGCAAAAGGGGCGGAAGCCGGAUGAAGCAACGCCGGGGGCGGGAUGACGGCCUUGGGGUUGUAAACCGCUUUCGCUUGUGACGAAGCGUGGGUGACGGUAAUGGGUAAAGAAACACCGGCUAACUACGU